GGAAUAUUGGUCAAUGGGCGGAAGCCUGAACCAGCCAUGCCGCGUGAAGGAAUAAGGCCCUAUGGGUCGUAAACUUCUUUUGACGGGGAGCAAUAAGGGUCACGUGUGGUCCGAUGAGCGUACUCGUCGAAUAAGCAUCAGCUAACUCCGUGCCAGCAGCCGCGGUAAUACGGAGGAUGCGAGCGUUAUCCGGAUUUAUUGGGUUUAAAGGGUGCGUAGGCUGUGCCGCAAGUCAGGGGUGAAAGCCCGGCGCUUAACGCCGGAACUGCCUUUGAUACUGCGGUGCUGGAGUUCGGAUGCCGUGGGAGGAAUGGGCAGUGUAGCGGUGAAAUGCUUAGAUAUUGCCCAGAACACCGAUUGCGAAGGCAUCUCACGAAUCCGCGACUGACGCUGAGGCACGAAAGCGUGGGGAUCAAACA
rnacentral:rRNA from 1 species